UUCUACUUCUCAUAUCUCCAGCAAGGUGCUAUGCUAGGGAACAAUAUUCUUUCGUCUCCAAGCUAGCUCUACCCAUUCCACCUCCGACUCAUUGUUCUAGCCCUUGGAACCGUGGUACUCCUUAGUUGUGGGUUUGUUGCGUUUUGUUAGCGUCUAAGCAAGAUGAGAGAAACGUUCAAGGUGGGUCUGGUGGUAGCAACGGUGCAGCUUAGAGUAUCCUGUUCUUGGUGGUUCUUAGGAGCAGUUUCACGGUCAUGGGGCCUUUUUGUAAUAGUUGUCUUAGUGACAACUCCUUUUGCAAACUCUUUUACUGUCAAUUUCUAUGUUAAGUCCCUGGCAUUAUGUUAGAUAUGCCCUAGUACAUUCUAGUACCUUUAUGGAUGAUUGUAAAAGUACAUUGUUUGAUUAUGAUGUUCAUCUGAUAAC